AAAACCCGAUGGCGAUAUAUAACUCUUGAACUUGACCCAUCAACUUAUUUGCAUGAUGUCUGUGAUUAAUGUAUUAAAAAUGUUCUAAUAAACAGUGAAAUUUGUAGGUGUGAAGUUUCUCUGGUUAAGUCCCAAAUUCCUGUUUCCUGUGAUAUGUUUAGGUUACUAUCAGUUACAAUUACAAAGUGAACAAUUGAAAUUAACAUUUAUCAAAAACGAAACGCAGGUGAAUAUCAAAGGUAUACGGCACAGGCACGAUGUCUUGGCUAUUAAUGGCAAAUUUCCUUGCUGGAAAAAUGGUAACUGAACGAAGGCAAAAUUUUAGUUUUCUUUACUAACAUUUAUUACAGUGAAACUCCCAUGAAGUAAAUCCUUAAAGCAAGGAAUGGUAAAAGGGGGUUUCCACUAUAUAUAUGUAUUGAGUUUGUAAGGUGUGACAGUCAUUUGUUUACGGAUCCUUGGAAAGGCAUAAGUGAUGAAGGAUGUAGUAAUUGAACAGAGGCCCAGCUACCUGGCACAUUCUCCCCAAUGCACAUCAUCCGUGAGGAGUUUAUAUUUAGUGUUGUCUUUGGUAAUCCACAAAUUUCCUUCCCACCAGAAAGUUUGACCUUCAAAUAUUCCAGAAUUAAUGUGGUUGGAAACUGGUGGUGCUGUUGAGAUUGGUGUCCAAUUUGCUGCCAUACAUAUGCUGGAAAUGCAACUAAGAUAGUGAGCUUCCUAGCAUCUGUAAAGAUAUAAAUGUGCUUGGAGUGAGGAAUGUUCUGGAAGUCAGACCCUCUGCACACAUCACAAGUAGAUGUGAGGUUCUCACAGCAGCAACUGUAAGGAUUACUGCCUCCAGGAUUGUGGCACCAUGUAGUGCAGGGCCUGAAAGUGGACGCAGCAGGUUCAACUGCAUUGCAUCACAUCCAAGAAGAGUGUAGUCUUCAUUACAAGGAGUUCCUGCAUCAGUCCUCACUUUUUGUUGGUACAGAGGAUGUGAACACAUCAUGGACAACCCACAUCAAUUGUGGCCUAAUAUGUUGCACAGAAACAUGGUUGGGGAGAACACAAGGAAGCUUAUGGAUAGCUUUGCACUGGAGAGGUCAUGUGUGGGUCAUGAAAGAAUUUUAAUUUCUCAUGAGAUAAUGCACAAUACAGUCUUCAACAUUUUCCUGUGCUCCUUGCCAGAUAUUACUCUCCCUUCCAUUCUUUGCUGCUCAAAUACAAGAAAAUCAACAUGUCACAAUAUUUAUAGCCACAUCCUUUUCUUAAACAUGCAUCAUACAUCAGUCUUACAUUUCACAACACUAUUAUUGAAUUUACAUACACAGCUUUAUAAUUUGGGCCAUAAAACAAGAUUCACUUUUACAUUUUAAAGUCAUGAAGUGUGUAAACAAUAUAGGAAUUUCAGAAAAUGUGAUGCAGCAAGGAAGGAAAGAGGACAGGAGAUUACAACAGAUGCUGGAAAAUGUUGACAUUACACAUGGGCACUAUCUUGUAGAAAAUGAAAAUUUCCUGGCACCUCACACAUAUUUUCUCCAGUACAAGAACUCCGAUACCUAUCGUCAUCCUCCCUGCAAAGCAAAAAUAGAAAACCUGGCAGUAGUUUCCAUUAUCCUACAUGAAAUAAAGUACAGGAUGAAACAACUCCA